GACGAACGCUGGCGGCGUGCUUAACACAUGCAAGUCGAACGGAAAGGCCCUGCUUUUGUGGGGUGCUCGAGUGGCGAACGGGUGGGUAACACGUGAGUAACCUGCCCUUGACUUUGGGAUAACUUCAGGAAACUGGGGCUAAUACCGGAUAGGAGCUCCUGCUGCAUGGUGGGGGUUGGAAAGUUUCGGCGGUUGGGGAUGGACUCGCGGCUUAUCAGCUUGUUGGUGGGGUAGUGGCUUACCAAGGCUUUGACGGGUAGCCGGCCUGAGAGGGUGACCGGCCACAUUGGGACUGAGAUACGGCCCAGACUCCUACGGGAGGCAGCAGUGGGGAAUAUUGCACAAUGGGCGGAAGCCUGAUGCAGCAACGCCGCGUGCGGGAUGACGGCCUUCGGGUUGUAAACCGCUUUCGCCUGUGACGAAGCGUGAGUGACGGUAAUGGGUAAAGAAGCACCGGCUAACUACGUGCCAGCAGCCGCGGUGAUACGUAGGGUGCGAGCGUUGUCCGGAUUUAUUGGGCGUAAAGGGCUCGUAGGUGGUUGAUCGCGUCGGAAGUGUAAUCUUGGGGCUUAACCCUGAGCGUGCUUUCGAUACGGGUUGACUUGAGGAAGGUAGGGGAGAAUGGAAUUCCUGGUGGAGCGGUGGAAUGCGCAGAUAUCAGGAGGAACACCAGUGGCGAAGGCGGUUCUCUGGGCCUUUCCUGACGCUGAGGAGCGAAAGCGUGGGGAGCGAACAGGCUUAGAUACCCUGGUAGUCCACGCUGUAAACGGUGGGUACUAGGUGUGGGGUCCAUUCCACGGGUUCCGUGCCGUAGCUAACGCUUUAAGUACCCCGCCUGGGGAGUACGGCCGCAAGGCUAAAACUCAAAGGAAUUGACGGGGCCCCGCACAAGCGGCGGAGCAUGCGGAUUAAUUCGAUGCAACGCGUAGAACCUUACCUGGGUUUGACAUGGAUCGGGAGUGCUCAGAGAUGGGUGUGCCUCUUUUGGGGUCGGUUCACAGGUGGUGCAUGGCUGUCGUCAGCUCGUGUCGUGAGAUGUUGGGUUAAGUCCCGCAACGAGUGCAACCCUUGUUCACUGUUGCCAGCACGUUAUGGUGGGGACUCAGUGGAGACCGCCGGGGUCAACUCGGAGGAAGGUGGGGAUGACGUCAAGUCAUCAUGCCCCUUAUGUCCAGGGCUUCACGCAUGCUACAAUGGCUGGUACAGAGAGUGGCGAGCCUGUGAGGGUGAGCGAAUCUCGGAAAGCCGGUCUCAGUUCGGAUUGGGGUCUGCAACUCGACCUCAUGAAGUCGGAGUCGCUAGUAAUCGCAGAUCAGCAACGCUGCGGUGAAUACGUUCCCGGG
rnacentral:rRNA from 1 species